ensembl:misc_RNA Y_RNA Y RNA
GGCUGGUCCCAAGGUAGUGAAUUAUCUCCAUUGAUUGUUCACAGUCAGGUACAGAUCAAACUCCUGUUCUACUCUUUUUCCCCUUCUCACUAUUGCCCUUGGCAAGACUUAA